AGAAAAAGUUUCUUCAAAUGAUCAGCAGUAUGACGAUAAUAAUAUUACACUGAAACUAGUCGAAAGUAAUGAUCCAUCUCAAAAAGAUUCAUCAAAAGCAAUAAUACUCAAUGAUUCUGAUAUUGUAGAUAUGGUAUUUUCAGAUGAAACUGAUUACGAUACUGAAAAUAACAGGAUAACAAAAUAUGCCUUUAAAGAGCAACCUAGUAAUUUAAAUUUAAAUAAGAAAGUUGUAGAAGAUGAACAUUCUAAUAAAUUAUCAACAAAAGGUAAAAGAUCAAAUAGUUUUUAGUUUAGCUAUUUAAUAUUAUUUACAUUAAAUAUUACAAUACUAUCUUUAGAUCCAGCAGUUGCUUCAAUAAAUAUUCAGAAAAAUUCUAUCGGUAUUGUUGAUAUCAAAAGUAUUGAAUUUGCUGAACCAGAAUGCAGUACACGAGGACGUCCCAAAAAUUCAAAAACUACAAAGCCCUCUGGAGCUCCACUUUUACCAACACUUUGCGAAUUUGAAAAAAAAGAUUUAAAUGCCAAAGCAUUAUUAAUUUUACAGUUACUGACAAAUGAUGCAAAUAUAACUGUAAACAUAAGAGAGAAAUCAUACGAUAUCUGCUUAGAAGAUUUUAAGAAUAUUAUAAAAGAUAAUGUUCCAGAUAUUUUUAUGGAUGAAAGUACCGAUGAAGUAAUUGAACACCUUCAAAAAUAUUGGAAGAAUGAUGGAUAUAAAAUAACUACUUACUUAAAAAAACAAAUUACAAUUAAAAGAAAAAAAGACAUUUACACAUGUCCAACAUGCAACAAAGAAGCAGAUGAGGGAACAGGUCAAUGUAGUUCUUGCUUAACAUGGUAUCAUUUGGAUACGUGUGUAAUCCAAAACAUGAUGCCAUUUCCAACUAAUAAAAAAAA